GAAUCGGAGAGGCAAAGGGACGAAGAAAGGAUAAGGAGGGAGGAAGAAGCGCAGGCUAUGCAAGCCAGGAUGAAUGCAAUGUACGAGUACUUGCAAAACCUUGCACCUGCUAUUGGUCAACCUCCUCCGCCAGCUAUGUUGUUCCAACCUCAAACUCCUCCUUUCAGCACUCCUAAUCAGUCGGCGGCGUCAAACAAUCCACCUCCUGGGCAACAAGGGGAACAAGGUGGACCGUCGAGGUAGGUGGAUGAUGGACUUUGUGAUGGUUGUGAUAAUGGACUUGUGAUGGACUUGUGAAGGAUGUGAUGUACUUGUGAAUGAUUUGUGAUGGUUAUGGACAUUUGAAGGAUGGAUUGUUAUGGAUUUGUUCGGAUUUGUGAUAUAUAUGUCGUAUGUGAGCUCUAAAUGUUAUUUGUGAUAUAAAUGUGAUCUGUGA